CUACGGGCGGCUCCAGUGGGGAAUAUUGGACAAUGGGGGAAACCCUGAUCCAGCAAUGCCGCGUGUGUGAAGAAGGCCUGCGGGUUGUAAAGCACUUUCGGUUGGGAGGACUGCUUCCAGCACUAAUAUUGUUGGAAGUUGACGUUACCUUCAGAAGAAGCACCGGCUAACUCCGUGCCAGCAGCCGCGGUAAUACGGAGGGUGCAAGCGUUAAUCGGAAUUACUGGGCGUAAAGCGCGCGUAGGCGGCUAGAUCAGUCGGGUGUGAAAGCCCCGGGCUUAACCUGGGAACUGCAUCCGAUACUGUCUAGCUUGAGUACAGGAGAGGAGAGUGGAAUUCCACAUGUAGCGGUGAAAUGCGUAGAUAUGUGGAGGAACACCAAUGGCGAAGGCAGCUCUCUGGCCUGAUACUGACGCUGAGGUGCGAAAGCGUGGGGAGCAGACAGGAUUAGAUACCCGAGUAGUC
rnacentral:rRNA from 1 species